GAUUUCAUUAUCAUCAAUCUGAAAAACUGAAAAACUGUGGAGUGUGCUCUGGAAGAUAUCAGAAAUGACCGAAUCAAUGGGGGUUGAGGUAAAAGGUCCCGACCCCAAACGCGGUUACUUCCAUGAGAUGAUGUGAUUUUUCUUCGUUUACUCUAUUUUUUAAUCCAAGUCAAGCAAGAUCAUACCGUCAAACGUGUUUUCAACUUUUUCCUUCCAUGAGAUGAACGAAUUCAUCGUUUUACUGAACGUGGACUCACAUCCUUGUUGAUCUGGAAUUCCCUCUCUCAACUUCAUCCCUAAUCUCUUCCAUGCUUGGUUUGGGGUCUCAACUUAUUCUGUGAUUUGGGGUCUCUAUAGGUUGAGCUUGCUUUGGAUUCAAAGAAUGAGCCAUGGCUUUGUGUCUCUCAACGCUGAUGUGCCUAUAUAUAUAUAUUUUUGGCAGGGUUGACAUAGUCACAAGUUGAUUCUGAUGUUGUUGAUCCAUCUUUUGAGCCACUAAUAUUAGUAGAAGAUUCCACUAUAUAGCUUGUAAGAUCAACCAUCCGGUUCUCGAGGUUGUCUUCUGCACUUGUUGAAGCUGUUAGCUCUCCCUCACUUGGAAGGUUCCUCGACUAGAUUUUUGGUCCAAUCCUUUCAACUUUUUGCUUGGAGUUAAC